rnacentral:rRNA from 1 species
AUGGAGUUGGUGUGUUGGAACAUGAGGGGACUGAAUAGCCCCGCUAAAAGGAAAGCGCUUAGGGAGUUUGUUGGCUCGAUCCAUACGACCAUCAUAUGUAUUCUAGAGACUAAGCUAGAGGUGGUCGAUCAAUAUGUAAUAAUGCAAUGUCUUGGGCCAGUGUAUGAUGGUUUCUUUUACCUUCCUGCCUCUAACACCCGGGGAGGAAUUUUUGUUGCUUGGGAUUCCACUAAGGUGCAGUUGACAAAUUUUGUCAAUGACACAAAUUUUACCACGGGUUACAUCACCCCCUUAGAAGGGCCGGCUUGGUGGCUGACAGUGGUGUAUGGACCACAGGAGGAUGCAGAGAAAAUUCUCUUUUUGGAGGAACUUACGGUUAGACGACAACUCUAUUCGGGAUCUUGGCUUGUCAUUGGGGAUUUCAAUAUGAUUCUGUAUGCACAGGACAAGAGCAAUGCACUUCUAGACCGUAGGAUGAUGAUACGUCUCCAACAUAUCUAUAAUUUUUUUUAUUGUUCCAUGCUAUUAUAUUAUCAACCUUGGAUGUUUUAUAUGCAUUUAUAUGCUAUUUUAUAUGAUUUUUGGGACUAA